rnacentral:rRNA from 1 species
AGAGUUUGAUCCUGGCUCAGGAUGAACGCUGGCGGCGUGCUUAACACAUGCAAGUCGAACGAUCCUUCGGGAUAGUGGCGGACGGGUGAGUAACGCGUGGGAAUCUGCCCUCAGGAGGGGGAUAACGGCUGGAAACGGCCGCUAAUACCCCAUAUGCCGAGAGGUGAAACGAAUUUCGCCUGAGGAUGAGCCCGCGUCUGAUUAGCUAGUUGGUGGGGUAAAGGCCUACCAAGGCGACGAUCAGUAGCUGGUCUGAGAGGAUGAUCAGCCACACUGGGACUGAGACACGGCCCAGACUCCUACGGGAGGCAGCAGUGGGGAAUUUUCCGCAAUGGGCGAAAGCCUGACGGAGCAACGCCGCGUGAGGGAUGAAGGCCUCUGGGCUGUAAACCUCUUUUCUCAAGGAAGAAGAACUGACGGUACUUGAGGAAUAAGCCACGGCUAAUUCCGUGCCAGCAGCCGCGGUAAUACGGGAGUGGCAAGCGUUAUCCGGAAUUAUUGGGCGUAAAGCGUCCGCAGGCGGCCUUGUAAGUCUGUUGUUAAAGCGUGGAGCUCAACUCCAUUUAAGCAAUGGAAACUACAAGGCUGGAGUGUGGUAGGGGCAGAGGGAAUUCCCGGUGUAGCGGUGAAAUGCGUAGAUAUCGGGAAGAACACCAGUGGCGAAGGCGCUCUGCUGGGCCAUAACUGACGCUCAUGGACGAAAGCCAGGGGAGCGAAAGGGAUUAGAUACCCCUGUAGUCCUGGCCGUAAACGAUGAACACUAGGUGUCGGGGGAAUCGACCCCCUCGGUGUCGUAGCCAACGCGUUAAGUGUUCCGCCUGGGGAGUACGCACGCAAGUGUGAAACUCAAAGGAAUUGACGGGGGCCCGCACAAGCGGUGGAGUAUGUGGUUUAAUUCGAUGCAACGCGAAGAACCUUACCAGGGUUUGACAUCCUGCGAAUCCCUUGGAAACGAGGGAGUGCCUUCGGGAGCGCAGUGACAGGUGGUGCAUGGCUGUCGUCAGCUCGUGUCGUGAGAUGUUGGGUUAAGUCCCGCAACGAGCGCAACCCACGUCUUUAGUUGCCAGCAUUCAGUUGGGCACUCUAGAGAGACCGCCGGUGAUAAACCGGAGGAAGGUGUGGAUGACGUCAAGUCAUCAUGCCCCUUACAUCCUGGGCUACACACGUACUACAAUGCUACGGACAAAGGGCAGCAAGCUCGCGAGAGUUAGCAAAUCCCAUAAACCGUGGCUCAGUUCAGAUCGUAGGCUGCAACUCGCCUACGUGAAGGAGGAAUCGCUAGUAAUCGCAGGUCAGCAUACUGCGGUGAAUACGUUCCCGGGCCUUGUACACACCGCCCGUCACACCAUGGAAGUUGGCCAUGCCCGAAGUCGUUACUCCAACCCUUGUGGAGGAGGACGCCGAAGGUGGGGCUGAUGACUGGGGUGAAGUCGAAACAAGGUA